AUUGAACGCUGGCGGCAGGCCUAACACAUGCAAGUCGAGCGAGGGGCGGGCGGGUGAGUAGUGCCGGGGACUUGCCCUGUCGGGGGGGAUAACAGUUGGACACGACUGCUAACACCGCAUCCGCGGGUGUUCCCGAGGUGGGUUUAGCUAGUUUGGGGGGUAAUGGCUCACCAAGGCGACGAUCCCUAGCUGGUCUGAGAGGAUGAUCAGCCACACUGGAACUGAGACACGGUCCAGACUCCUACGGGAGGCAGCAGUGGGGAAUAUUGCACAAUGGGGGAAACCCUGAUGCAGCCAUGCCGCGUGUGUGAAGAAGGCCUUCGGGUUGUAAAGCACUUUCAGCGAGGAGGCGUUACUCGCAGAAGAAGCACCGGCUAACUCCGUGCCAGCAGCCGCGGUAAUAC
rnacentral:rRNA from 1 species